rnacentral:misc_RNA from 1 species
CAGAAUUCAAUCUGCUGGAAUUGAUGCCUCUGGAAAGUUGAAAGCCGAUCUUCAUCUCAUUAAGAAUUCCUCCUCUUUUGGUCCUGACCUUCAAAAUCUAAACCUGAUUGCCAGCUUCGAGUCAAAAGAUCGCUUGAGGAUUCACAUAGCAGAUUCCAAUAAGCAAAGAUGGGAAAUCCCUCAAGAUAUAAUUCCCCGCCAAAAUGUUGACUUUGCAGUGAACCAUAUCAGUUCAUUGGAAAACCAGUUUAUUUCAGAUUCCAACUCCGACCUCAUCUUCACUCUCUACAACACCACGCCCUUCGGCUUCUCCGUUGCCC